UUUGACGGCGACCGGCGCACGGGUGAGUAACACGUAUCCAACCUGCCGAUGACUCGGGGAUAGCCUUUCGAAAGAAAGAUUAAUACCCGAUGGCAUAGUUCUUCCGCAUGGUAGAACUAUUAAAGAAUUUCGGUCAUCGAUGGGGAUGCGUUCCAUUAGGUUGUUGGCGGGGUAACGGCCCACCAAGCCUUCGAUGGAUAGGGGUUCUGAGAGGAAGGUCCCCCACAUUGGAACUGAGACACGGUCCAAACUCCUACGGGAGGCAGCAUG
rnacentral:rRNA from 1 species